AACGAACGCUGGCGGCAGGCUUAACACAUGCAAGUCGAACGCCCCGCAAGGGGAGUGGCAGACGGGUGAGUAACACGUGGGGAUCUGCCCAAUGGUACGAAAUAAUUCCGGGAAACUGGGACUAAUACCGUAUGUGCCCGCAAGGGGAAAGAUUUAUCGCCAUUGGAUGAACCCGCGUCGGAUUAGCUAGUUGGUGAGGUAAAGGCUCACCAAGGCGACGAUCCGUAGCUGGUCUGAGAGGAUGAUCAGCCACACUGGGACUGAGACACGGCCCAGACUCCUACGGGAGGCAGCAGUGGGGAAUAUUGGACAAUGGGCGCAAGCCUGAUCCAGCCAUGCCGCGUGAGUGAUGAAGGCCUUAGGGUUGUAAAGCUCUUUCGCCGACGAAGAUAAUGACGGUAGUCGGAGAAGAAGCCCCGGCUAACUUCGUGCCAGCAGCCGCCGUAAUAC
rnacentral:rRNA from 1 species